UUUAUUGAAAGAAAAGUGAAGAUAAUUGCAACCAACUCCACCACAGAGUGGCGACUUGGGCUGAAACCAGGAAGAAACUUGAUGAGAUGCAGACAGUAGAGGUCUUUUGGAAGGUCGUAGCAGCUGUUCAAAAAACAAAGAGAGUAGAAAAUAAGUCUGAUCUGUUUUUUGUUUAUUAUCCAAAGCAGGAUACAUAUCUGUACUUUUAAUUGGUUGGUUCAUAAAAGCUUAUCAAUAUAGCUUAACUAAAUUUUAGCAAAAUGAAUUUGAAGCUUUUAACCUCUUACAUAUGACACACAAUUUGAAUCUGUGCUGUUGGGCUUCAUUUUGUGCCAUUAUGUUGACUACAGUGGUGCAUAAUUUUCAUGUUGAAAAUCUCUCAUACAAUAACAAAAUUCUCACCAUUAAGUCUCCCAGAUAAGAAUUGUUUUAAAAAGUAUACUUUUUCUGUCUUCUAAGUGCCCUAAUUCCUCCAAAAGCAACUCAAAAUAACUGUGUAGCAGCAGAACUGAUGGGACAGGGCUGCCGAGAAAGUCUCAGGGUGAAUUUUAUUGCAAGGUUGAGUUAUUUUGCCUAAAGACUUUCUUUCUCAAAAAUGUAGUCCCCCUGUUGUUCCAUUCUAUUUUUAUUGUAAGACAAGUGAAAAUAAUUGCAAUCAACUCCGCCACAGAGGGGAGACUUGGGCUAAAACCAGGAAGAAACUUGAUGAGAUGCAGACAGUAGAGGUCUUUUGGAAGGUCAUAGCAGCUCUUCAGAAAACAGAUAGAGUAGAAAAUAAGUCUGGACUGUUUUUUUGUUUUUCCAAAGCAGGAUACAUAUCUUCACUUUCAAUUGGUUGA